rnacentral:lncRNA from 1 species
ACUUACUUGAUCAAUUUGAUAGAUUAUAUCUUGAUUAGACUGCUAAGUGAUUUGAGUUGACCCAUGUUAUUAAGGUUGAUCAUUGUGAUUGAUCUAGAUGCCAUUUCAACUAGUAUGACCCUAAUCUAAUUCAAUGACUUGAUGAAGUUAGUGGGAGGAUUGUGGUUUACUGGUUGAUCUCUUCUUUUUUCUUGACUCAUAAAUUAAAUUUUUUAAAUUAUUAGAUCCCUAAAAUAAGCUAGUUAUGGGGAUAACUAGAUUAUAGCCUCUCAUUAAGUUGGAUG